rnacentral:rRNA from 1 species
GAUGGACGCUGGCGACGUGCCUAAUACAUGCAAGUCGAGCGAACGGACGAGAAGCUUGCUUUUCUGAUGUUAGCGGCGGACGGGUGAGUAACACGUGGAUAACCUACCUAUAAGACUGGGAUAACUUCGGGAAACCGGAGCUAAUACCGGAUAAUAUUUUGAACCGCAUGGUUCAAAAGUGAAAGACGGUCUUGCUGUCACUUAUAGAUGGAUCCGCGCUGCAUUAGCUAGUUGGUAAGGUAACGGCUUACCAAGGCAACGAUGCAUAGCCGACCUGAGAGGGUGAUCGGCCACACUGGAACUGAGACACGGUCCAGACUCCUAAGGGAGGCAGCAGUAGGGAAUCUUCCGCAAUGGGCGAAAGCCUGACGGAGCAACGCCGCGUGAGUGAUGAAGGUCUUCGGAUCGUAAAACUCUGUUAUUAGGGAAGAACAUAUGUGUAAGUAACUGUGCACAUCUUGACGGUACCUAAUCAGAAAGCCACGGCUAACUACGUG